UGUGGGAUGAGCCCGCGGCCUAUCAGCUUGUUGGUGGGGUGACGGCCUACCAAGGCGACGACGGGUAGCCGGCCUGAGAGGGUGUCCGGCCACACUGGGACUGAGAUACGGCCCAGACUCCUACGGGAGGCAGCAGUGGGGAAUAUUGCACAAUGGGCGCAAGCCUGAUGCAGCGACGCCGCGUGGGGGAUGACGGCCUUCGGGUUGUAAACCUCUUUCACCAUCGACGAAGGUCCGGGUUCUCUCGGAUUGACGGUAGGUGGAGAAGAAGCACCGGCCAACUACGUGCCAGCAGCCGCGGUAAUACGUAGGGUGCGAGCGUUGUCCGGAAUUACUGGGCGUAAAGAGCUCGUAGGUGGUUUGUCGCGUUGUUCGUGAAAUCUCACGGCUUAACUGUGAGCGUGCGGGCGAUACGGGCAGACUAGAGUACUGCAGGGGAGACUGGAAUUCCUGGUGUAGCGGUGGAAUGCGCAGAUAUCAGGAGGAACACCGGUGGCGAAGGCGGGUCUCUGGGCAGUAACUGACGCUGAGGAGCGAAAGCGUGGGGAGCGAACAGGAUUAGAUACCCUGGUAGUCCACGCCGUAAACGGUGGGUACUAGGUGUGGGUUUCCUUCCUUGGGAUCCGUGCCGUAGCUAACGCAUUAAGUACCCCGCCUGGGGAGUACGGCCGCAAGGCUAAAACUCAAAGGAAUUGACGGGGGCCCGCACAAGCGGCGGAGCAUGUGGAUUAAUUCGAUGCAACGCGAAGAACCUUACCUGGGUUUGACAUGCACAGGACGCGUCUAGAGAUAGGCGUUCCCUUGUGGCCUGUGUGCAGGUGGUGCAUGGCUGUCGUCAGCUCGUGUCGUGAGAUGUUGGGUUAAGUCCCGCAACGAGCGCAACCCUUGUCUCAUGUUGCCAGCACGUAAUGGUGGGGACUCGUGAGAGACUGCCGGGGUCAACUCGGAGGAAGGUGGGGAUGACGUCAAGUCAUCAUGCCCCUUAUGUCCAGGGCUUCACACAUGCUACAAUGGCCGGUACAAAGGGCUGCGAUGCCGCGAGGUUAAGCGAAUCCUUAAAAGCCGGUCUCAGUUCG
rnacentral:rRNA from 1 species